rnacentral:lncRNA from 1 species
CACAGGCAUUGUUCUGGCAGUUUGGACUGAAUGCCUCAAAAACUGGUCUGGUAAUUUCAUCAUGUGGGCAGAGGUUCAUGAAUAAGAAAGCACAAUCCAUCACUGCAUGUAAUGGCAAACAUGUAGAAACAACCAACCUGCCCAACAGUAGAAGACUAAGUUAUAGCACAUCCACUUGCUUGAAUAGUAUGCCACUAAAAUAAUGCAUGAGGCAGGGAUGCAGAACUAUUUCUUCUCCACUUCUGAUGUUUUCUUCAUCUUGGAGGGAGCCCAAUCAGAAUAACACACCUGGCCUUUCUCCACCCCUUAUUCACUCCACUCCAGGGAAAAUGGAGUGGCUUAGACUCGUGUAUUUGGGAGCCUUACUUUGGGAGAGACCUGCCCACAGAGAAUACACCUUCCCCUCUGCACCCACCCCCAUACCUGAAUCUUACAGGAGCAGCUGCCACUCACUCCACCACAUGAGAGCAUCCACACUCAUCCCACAGUGCCCAUGACAUGCUAUAGAAACAGGAAAGAAAAAUCACGGGGACCCAUGAGUAAGCUAAGAAGUCAUGGAAACGGUAAGACAACCAAAAGGACAAGGUGGCACUGCUGGCCUCACUGACAAUCAGAUGGAAGAUGAGCUUGGUGAGCCAGCCCUGGCAGGCAUGUGGACCCAGUAACCAAGUAGAUGGAACAUUUUGCCAGGUGUUUCACAGUGAUGGAUUAGCUGAAUGUCUUGGGGAGGAGAAAAACACGCAGACCCAAUCUCUCAUCUCCUGUGAAACCUCUAGAUGACCCUACUAAUUACAAGGUAAUAAAAGGUAUCUAGCAGUCUUAAAUAAUGCUCACAGACCAGAUCCAUAUGUCACAAUGACAGGACAAUGGGUUAUGUAACAUUGGCCAAGUGAGACUUGCAAUGUAUAAAAUUUUGGAGAGAGACACCAGGUUGCAAUAAAACGGAAGACUGUGUAAAAGACCCAGACUUACAAAUUUCACUGAUGUAACAAGUGAAGAUUAAGCCAAGAAAAAAAAAAAAAAUGGCAGCCCAGCCUGUUGACCCAAUGGCUCUUCAAAACCCUUGGAAAAAGUAAUCAGUUUCCAUGUCAAAUUAAGAAUUGAAUAGGUAACCCACAUCGUAUCCUGGGUUAUUAUUACUUUUUGCUUCAACCUAGAAAGUUGUUGCACCCUAGGUAGGUAUCAAAAUAAAUAUAUGAAAAGCUAAGAAGAUAUAACAUUAUAGAAAUAACAAAGAAAUAAAUUAACCCAUGGAACUGAUGCUUUAAGAAUAAGUAUAGCCGGGCGUGGUGGCUCACGCCUGUAAUCCCAGCACUUUGGGAGGCUGAGGUGGGCGGAUCACGAGGUCAGGAGAUCGAGACCAUCCUGGCUAACAUGGUGAAACCCCGUCUCUACUAAAAAUACAAAAAAAUUAGCUGGGCGUGGUGGCGGGCACCUGUAGUCCCAGCUACUCAGGAGGCUGAGGCAGGAGAAUGGCGUGAACCCGGGAAGCGGAGAUUGCAGUGAACCGAGAUGGCACCUGUGCACUCCAGCCUGGGCGACAGAGCAAGACUUCAUCUCAAAAAAAAAAAAAAAAAAAAAAAGAAACCAACAGGUAUAAAUGGCAACAUAGUCAUAAGUUAUAAUAAUUCUGUUUUGUAUAUGUUUAAUGUGUUUUCUUCCUGAGUUUGAAAGAGUCAAAAGUAUAUAUUGCAAAAUGUAUAAUUGCAAUUUAAACUAUGUAAAACAAUGUGCUUAUUUAAGUUUAUAGCAUAUUAAAAUAUUUAAAUAUUG